rnacentral:lncRNA from 13 species
AUGAAGUUGGCAUUACAUCAUAAAAUCCACGUUUUAAAUCAUACAUUAGCAAUUUAUGUUUUAGGAACUACUGUUGUUGGUUUGGUGUCAAGUAAAGCCUCUGUUAUUUGCCAAAUCUCAGUUUUCCAUGUGGGUUUUAUGCUAAAGAUCCCUCUUUCAAAUUGGUAUCUAACUGGAAAAUGCAUCUUCUUUAGCAGUGCUAUUUUUACCCUGUUCACUACUGAUCGUUCAUCCACACUGUGUGUCUCAUCAAUGCAGGGCAGAUUUAUGAAGAAUUGCCGCGGGAGUGCUAUUUAUAUCCCGUCACUACUGAUCAUUCAGCCAUACUGUGUGUGUCCCAUCUUUGCAGCUUUGGAAAUAAAUGAACUAUCCAUCCAUAGCUCCUUCCUGUGUUGACUCGCUGACUUGAGGGAAGGGACUAGGUACUUGCUCGAUAUCUAGGAAGGUCAUGCAAGGUUGAUAUCUAGCUCAAGCUUCACCUCAUGCUUUUCAUGAACUGUGUGAUUGUGUUAUCUAGUGGGAACCCGUUAGCACGGUAGGCUCUGGUGCCUUCUUGCUGUGGGCUCAAAUCAAAAGAGAAAAUCAACCUGCUUGCUCCUUUUUGUUGCGUCAACUUUUCGAUGUUACGUUUGAUACCGGAGCUACGAGACAUGCGUCCAAAUCACUAAACAAUCAUUCAAAGCAGUGUGCUGAUGCCUGUAUCACUUUAUCAGCAGCACGUCAUCAAUGAUGUCUGGAGCUUCAUUUCGUCGAACAACCACCUGAUUGGUUUGGUAUUGGGCUUGUUCGACCCUGCAGGCGACUGCCAACUGACUGAUCGACAAAUCACUACACAUCAUAAAUAACUACUCAUUAUUAUUUAUAAAUCAGUCAGCCAGUCAAUUUACCCACAAUGCAGCAUGGACUUGAUGCAAUCGAUCAAGGCCAGUGGUUUAGUAGAAGACGUGAAGGCUACGCUGCUACGGUGUGGGACGUCAUCUGCAAUAAUUUGGCUGUUCUAAAUUCUGUGUCGCUCAAAGCCUUGAGUAAUGAACCUAUUUUUGACACAAUUGGAUGGAAAGAGCCAAUGCUUCAGGAAGCUUUGUUUCCCCAUCACUACUUUUCAGCAUGUUCUCUGUGAAGUAGACUAUGGGUGUUUUGUAACUUUUACAACCUACUGCUAGCGCGCUAGCUGACUGACACCUGUAAUCUUUAUAUUUUGGAUUUUGGGGAUUUUCCCAGCCAUCAUUCUGUUUGCCUCUUUUGAUCUGCAGUUAUGUUUUAGUUGGGUUUUGUUAGUUGGGUUCUAACUGGUCUCCGGUAGUUGGGCUCCAGCUCGCUGACCAUAGCUAGUUGACUAAAUAGCUACCGUUAGCUGGCUGGCUAAGAUAACGCAUAUAGCUUAACAUUCUUUGAUAUUUGGUCAGAUGGCGUUAUGUAUUUCCAAAACGUUGGUUUACUUUAAUAACUCAAGUCAUGAGUGGAAACGAUUAGUUUAAUAUGAAGUUAUAUUUGAAGUUAUUUCUGUUGUAGUUUACAUCAUAGGGAAUAGGCUGGUCCUCCAUAUUACUUCACACCUAUCUUUGGCAUUCUUUUGAAUUCUGAUUGGUUUGCAUUGGGACUUCAAACAUAUAUUUAAUUUGAUGUUUUAUAAACAUACACAUACAAAUUACAACCUCAUCUCAUCUCCAUUAACUACAUCACACCUUCCCAGACCCACUAGAACACACCCCAUCGCCAUUAACUACAUCACACCUACCCAGACCCACUAGAACACACCUCCAUCUCCAUUAACUACAUCACACCUGCCCAGACCCACUAGAACACACCUCCAUCUCCAUUAACUACAUCACACCUGCCCAGACCCACUAGAACACACCUCCAUCUCCAUUAACUACAUCACACCUGCCCAGACCCACUAGAACACACCUCCAUCUCCAUUAACUACAUCACACC